rnacentral:rRNA from 1 species
UACGUAGGGUGCGAGCGUUGUCCGGAAUUAUUGGGCGUAAAGAGCUCGUAGGCGGUCUGUCGCGUCGAUCGUGAAAACUUGGGGCUUAACCCUGAGCUUGCCGGUCGAUACGGGCAUGACUGGAGUUCGGCAGGGGAGACUGGAAUUCCUGGUGUAGCGGUGAAAUGCGUAGAGUAUCUGGAAGGAACACCGGUGGCGAAGGCGGCAUCCUGGACCAACACUGACGCUGAGUGAGCGAAAGCCAGGGGAGCAAACGGG